GCCACCCUAGCUCAACUGGCAGAGCACCCGACUUGUAAUCGGGGGGUUGGGGGUUCAACUCCCCUGGGUGGCUCCA
rnacentral:tRNA from 1 species